rnacentral:rRNA from 1 species
AGCGAACGCUGGCGGCAGGCCUAACACAUGCAAGUCGAACGAACCUUUCGGGGUUAGUGGCGGACGGGUGAGUAACACGUGGGAACGUGCCUUUAGGUUCGGAAUAACUCAGGGAAACUUGUGCUAAUACCGAAUGUGCCCUUCGGGGGAAAGAUUUAUCGCCUUUAGAGCGGCCCGCGUCUGAUUAGCUAGUUGGUUGAGGUAAUGGCUCACCAAGGCGACGAUCAGUAGCUGGUCUGAGAGGAUGAUCAGCCACAUUGGGACUGAGACACGGCCCAAACUCCUACGGGAGGCAGCAGUGGGGAAUCUUGCGCAAUGGGCGAAAGCCUGACGCAGCCAUGCCGCGUGAAUGAUGAAGGUCUUAGGAUUGUAAAAUUCUUUCACCGGGGACGAUAAUGACGGUACCCGGAGGAGAAGCCCCGGCUAACUUCGUG